AUGGCUUACUAUUCAGAUCAUCAGGCUUAUGCAAGCAACACUACAAACAGCACGGAAAGUAUUCAAGAACUGAUAAGUAAGAUUUCCCAUCAAUUAGAUGAUUUAGCUCGGCAGCGAGAAGUAGUUUUUGAGGAUAGGCCUAGCUCUUAUGAUCCUUAUUCUAGAGGCCAUCCUUGUGUUGCUCCUACCUGCCAUAUUUGUGGAUUUCAGGGCCAUUUGCCCGCUGUAUGUCAGCGUGGUUACUCCCAUCCUCCGGAUUGUUUUGGCAUGAGCUUCGCUCAACAGCAUAGCUCAUACCAAAACAAUUACUCACAUGGGUGGCCUGAAAGCCUGAAUAUGUCAUAUAGGAGCAACAACCCUGAGAUCUCAUCGUUUGCCUCUAGUUAUCCAUUGCAGGGAUUCAGGUACAAUGAGAAGAACCACAACUAUGCUCCACAACAGUCUUAUUCAGCUCCUAUUCAUAUACCUCUACACCAGGAGAUGUGUCCAAUGGAGUUAAAUGGUCCUCCAUUUGGUCAACCAACAUCUUCAACACAAGUGCCCACACAAGAUGACUUUGAUGAUAUAGACAAGCUCACAUUGCUUGGUCUCGAGUUCACUUGGAGUGCCGAAGAUGAUCCAAUUAGGCCGGUGAUACUAGAGGAAAUGAAGAAGAUUAAGAGUGGAAAGGAGCUAGUGGAAGAAGCAAGGAAGAUUGAGAAGAACAUCAACGCUGGCAGUACUAUAUCAUCACAGUUUGAGUUGAGUGUGGCUGAGAUAUCCAUUGAUACAUGUGAGGUUCCAACACCUUCACAUUCAGCUGAGCAAGAUAGCGAGAGUCCAGAGGAAGAAAUACUUCAGAUCCAAGAAGAAAUUCUCAAAGCCAAGGCACAAGAUGAUCCAGAGCUCAAACAACAAAGUGAUCAAGUUGAAGACUCAUCAUCUAUUAAUCUUGAAGAAGCAAAAGAAGUUGAUGUGAUUGAAGAUUAA
rnacentral:rRNA from 1 species